GUGCUCCCUUGGGCAGCGCAUAUACUAAAAUUGGAGCGAUACAGAGAAAAUUAGCAUGGCCUCUGAGCAAGAAUGACACACAAAUUCAUGAAGCGUUCCAUAUAUCG